rnacentral:rRNA from 1 species
UUCCUACGGGAGGCAGCAGUGGGGAAUAUUGCACAAUGGGGGGAACCCUGAUGCAGCGACGCCGCGUGGGUGAAGAAGUCAUUCGUGACGUAAAGCCCUAUCAGCAGGGAAGAAAAUGACGGUACCUGACUAAGAAGCCCCGGCUAACUACGUGCCAGCAGCCGCGGUAAUACGUAGGGGGCAAGCGUUAUCCGGAUUUACUGGGUGUAAAGGGCGUGCAGCCGGGCUGACAAGUCAGAUGUGAAAUCCCGCGGCUCAACCGCGGAACUGCAUUUGAAACUGUCAGGCUUGAGUACCGGAGAGGG